GCCUGGGUGGCUCAGUCGGUUGAGCAUCUGACUUUGGCUCAGGUCAUGAUCUCAGGGUCUGUGAGUUCAAGCCCUGCGUCGGGCU
rfam:Felis catus isolate Cinnamon breed Abyssinian chromosome B2, whole genome shotgun sequence.